GAUGAACGCUAGCUAUAGGCUUAACACAUGCAAGUCGAGGGGAAACGAUAUUGGAAGCUUGCUUCCGAUAGGCGUCGACCGGCGCACGGGUGAGUAACGCGUAUCCAACCUGCCCACCACUUGGGGAUAACCUUGCGAAAGUAAGACUAAUACCCGAUGAUAUCUCUAGAAGACAUCUGAAAGGGAUUAAAGAUUUAUCGGUGAUGGAUGGGGAUGCGUCUGAUUAGCUUGUUGGCGGGGUAACGGCCCACCAAGGCAACGAUCAGUAGGGGUUCUGAGAGGAAGGUCCCCCCACAUUGGAACUGAGACACGGUCCAAACUCCUACGGGAGGCAGCAGUGAGGAAUAUUGGUCAAUGGGCGAGAGCCUGAACCAGCCAAGUAGCGUGCAGGACGACGGCCCUAUGGGUUGUAAACUGCUUUUAUAAGGGAAUAAAGUGAGUCUCGUGAGACUUUUUGCAUGUACCUUAUGAAUAAGGACCGGCUAAUUCCGUG
rnacentral:rRNA from 1 species